UACGAAGGGGACUAGCGUUGUUCGGAAUUACUGGGCGUAAAGCGUGCGCAGGCGGCUUCUCAAGUCAGGGGUGAAAGCCCAGAGCUCAACUCUGGAAUUGCCUUUGAGACUGAGUGGCUUGAGUACGAGAGAGGUGAGUGGAAUUCCCAGUGUAGAGGUGAAAUUCGUAGAUAUUGGGAAGAACACCGGUGGCGAAGGCGGCUCACUGGCUCGUAACUGACGCUCAUGCACGACAGCGUGGGGAUCAAACAGG
rnacentral:rRNA from 1 species